rnacentral:tRNA from 1 species
GUGCACAUAGUUUUAAAAAAAACAUUAGAUUGUGGUUCUAACAAUAGAGGUUAAAGUCCUCUUGUCCACU